rnacentral:misc_RNA from 1 species
CAAUUUUUUAGUCCAUGUUUUGGACUAUUUGUAACGUGAGGAAAUUCAAUUUUUACAUUGAAAUCUAUGAGGAUCAGUUUUUUCAGUGAUUAUUCCUCCAUGGCAAGUCCGAUUUAAAAUUCUUUUUUCUAUGUUCAUCUGCAUGUACAUACGCAUGUGCGUGUAAAAUUUGAUGAGAAUUGGUUGAGUGGUGCAAAAGAAAAACACGGACAAAGAAGUUGCAAAGUCAAGAUGAGCGAUCCUGGAAAUUUAACUUCGAUAAAUUUGAUCAGAGGAUGUGGAUUCACUUCAUUAUAACCUCAAUCAAUGUCUUAUAGACAAUCGAAAUAUACUGCGUAGUUGGUACUUGAGAUUACAACUGUCACGUGUCCACUACUGAGAGAGGAUAUCAGUCAAAACUUUUUAUUUAAUUAUUUUAGUAGUGUUUACUAAAAAGUGUUCACUUCCAGGUUCACUUAUCGGAUAACCCGCAUACUCGUACCUUUAUCAAACCUAAUCCCGCCAAAAUACUUCCGUUACUGUCAUCGAUACAGUCGAAAAUGUUCGUACAGUCUCGUAAUAAAAAUACUCAUCAAGGUAGGUUCAAAGUAAUAUUCAAUUUUGUUAAUAGACUUCAGUUAAGUAUUACUCGAGCAUAAUCUUAUUCGAUCACGUUUUGUUAUGGUCGGGCGUAAAUUAUUCACGGAGGAGGGAAAGUUAUCGUUCGUAUGCGUAUGAAAUAGCAAAGCAGAACCAGACUGUAUUAUCAGGAUAAACUUACAAGGAUCGUACGUGUUCUAGUCUCAUCAAGCACGCCUGUUUACUCGUGCUGCGUAAGGAAAAGCAAACUGCAACGUUUAUCGAGCUGGGGCUUUUCUUGCUGUGCAAUUCUUACAAAGGAACUUUCGGAUUCAAUGAGGAGAGCGGUUUCCGUUGAGGAGAAUUGUUUGCAACGUAAAAUGAAGAUCGCGACAAACGACGCGAAAUCAAAGGCGCAAACAGGUUGAUAGCUGCUUCGCUGGAGAAUCGAUGGGUUUACUUCCGUUUCGAUGACGAUAACAGAUUCAAGGAUUAUUCGGAUAUCGAAUCCUUGAAGAAAUUCGUGGCGCAUCUGGAUGAACAUCUCUUCGCAUACAGUGAACAUGCACACAUAAUUGUGACGUCAAGAUAAUAACUGUGGAGUCAUCGAAGAACUUUCGAAUACCUAAUAUUUAUAAUCAGCUGAUUUUUCCACGAUUCCGGGAAGAGGAUUGAUAAAUUUUUCACGCAGAAGGGGUAUUGACAGAGAUUUUUAACUAAACGCUGGUUAAACGCUUUUAUUUGCAGAGCAUUAACGCGACACCUCUGUUCAAUUUCGUCGGCGAAAGCAUCUGUUUGCACGAUUUCAUCCAUCCAUCGAACAAUAUUUUCGUUUCACUCACCCUCGUUAUCUCUCCUCGAUAAAGAACGUAGGACGAUCGAACCCCACAUUCCGAUUAGUUACACGAUUACGCGGUCGAAUUUGAUUUCGCCGUUUCCAUCGAUUCGAUUUUCGCAUGUUCAAUGUCAGGUACUUGGAUAACAUCUCCGAAUAUGGUAAACCGUCAUGAAUAUUCAUUAAAGCUUGAUAUGGAGUUUGUUAAUCGAGCGCAUCGAAUAUACGCACCGAGUAAUUCGAUCGUUGUUCUUCCAGCGUUAACAAAUUUAUCAUUUUGCAGUCCACGAUUUGUACCCGAAUUUCUUUAUCGAAAGGGAGAAUCAUAAUGAGCGAAAACAGGGGAAGAAUAAGCGAGGGAGGGGAUGAAAGCGGUGGAGGUAAGAUGUAAAGAUGCAAAGGGGGUGUCGACGGUCAUCCGGAUACAACGUACUCGAAAUAGCUGGAAAUUCCAGCGAGAUACGUUACGACGGAAGGGGUACGGUUUGAUUUCUGUUUCCAACGGUGGUGCAAGCUCCGUUCUCUCAUUGGUCCCAGUGAUCCGUGACGUCACUACGCCGGCCUAUGUAUAAGGUGAAGCACACGGAGCGUCAGUUCAUCGUUGUCCGUCACGUCGACCGGGUCUCAUCCUUUGAAUCAUCCUCUGCUUUCGAAUACCACCGAUCGAAUCAACGGACACUUUUUUACAUCGGACCAAAACGAAAAAAGAUCAUAGGUAAAUGCUGCGAAAAUGGAACGGAAAAUAGGGAGACGCGUGGACUCCGAGAGCAACAGGCUUCCGAAAAGAACGCGCGAGCGCGAUCGAUCGACAGCCAAAUUUAUGGAUUUUUUAUUUAAUCUUUUAUCAACGUUUCUUUUACCACCUCUGGAAUCUACAAGACCGGAAUUUUUAUCAAGAAAGGGGAAUUAAAUUUAUUGGGUUUUCCGUCGCUAAUUGUCUCCGUAUUUCGCAAACAUUAAAAACCAGAUCGACAUAUUUCUCGGAGGACCACGUUUAAUUCUCCAGCGAUCUUCCACCUAAAGAUACAAGCUUCUCGGAAAUAUUCCUCAGAAAAUAAUAGGACCACACUGUUCGUGCAACAUUGUUAACAAUUUUUCCUCAGGGGCGAACACAGGAACCAAUUAAUUUCGAUGUACUUUUCUGACGUUGGCUGAUUCUCCAAUUCAGUGUAAUCGUUACCACUGUAUUUGUUGGUAAUUUCAACCUGUUCAACGCGUUACAACCUUUUGAAAUCGAUCGUUUGAUCCGAAAUGGCAUUCGACACUGCAACGAGAUCAUUUUACUUUUCGCAAAGGGAUGCGAAUUGACGUUUUGAAUUUUAGCAAUCGAUAUUUGAGUUGCUUUGGGAUUAAUUUUACUGACAUUCAGUUUUGUUUGGAGUUAUAUAGAGAAGUCCAAUAGCCAAGACCAAUAGUCAAGUUCAAUAGUCAAAUCCAAUAGUUUGAUACCGAAUUGACAUAACAUUUCAAUACACUUCUGUUUUAAGGUACUGUUCUUGCACAGGUGCAAGACUCAUUCACUGCAAUUGAAUUUUUGGUUCUAAUUAUAAUUAUAAUUAUACCAAAUGUUAUAAUCAAGGAUCUGGAGGCAAUGCAGAACAUUUUAACAUUCUUCUGCCUGAAGCAAUAAUUAGCUGACGCUGUCCAGAAAAUUGUGGGUUAAAGUAGCUCCAAAUGAACUCGUGACACAACCUUCAUUUGUGACAUAACCAUACAUUUAUUAUAAUUUAUUAUUUAUUAUAACUUUGUCAAAAAGUAGAGGAUAAAAUCAUUGCUAUUAUAUUAUAUAUUUAAGUGAUUGAUUUUUACUGCUAAUAAUUUUAGCGAUAUUGCUUUCUCAACCCCUAGGAUUAUCCAGAUGCGUCGGAACCAAUCACAGCCACAAUAUUACAGAGCGAUAUUAAUCCAAUAUUACUAAAGAAAGUUACAGAUCAAUAAUCCAAUAUUACAAAGAACGUUAAAAUAUUUGGUAUUCGACGUGAACAAAUCCUAUUGAAAUUAAUCAGUUCGUCAGAAUAGUACAAGGCAUUGAUACGGGUACCUGAAAUUCUACCAGAACCGUACAGCCGUAUUACGACGUGAAUGGUAGGUGUACUAACGAUGAAAAAGCUGCGAUCGAACGUCCACGCUGUGUGAAUACGCGACAUCCACCUUCUAUUAGCAUCUAGCGACAGUUUAUUACGUUCUGAGUAGUCUUGACUGACGCAUGUGAAAUAAAUAGCACGGGAAGAGGUUAAGUAUCUGUACUCGUUCAAGUAUCUAUACCGAUCCAGGUAUCUCUACAGAUUACAAUAAAAUUUCCUUUUUAUUCAACGAAGAAGACGUUCGCAAAAGUUUUCCAGUUUGAAAACUCAGCGAAGGCGUAUACUCGAUUAUUACUCUUUUAUCGCUCUGUUUCCUAUGCCCGAUGUUUCGUUUACGAUCCGUAUUCUCGUAAGACGGCGGCGACGGUUUAAAACCGUUCGUAUUGUUGUUAAUCACGACCCGGAAAGAUGGGGCAGACAUUUUUCUCGUUUACGAACCUCUCCUCGUUUGUGAUUAAAAACGAUUUGCCUGCGCAUAUCUGUACCGAAAGAAAAUACCACAUCUUCAUCUUCUAAAUCCCUCGGAUAUUCCCUUUCUUCCUUUGCAUUUCUUUCACUUAGACUAUCGCUUGAAAUUGGAAAUGUUCGUUUAAGGUUACCGCCCACUUAACAGCGCUGUACCGCAGGAUCAUCUUUCACUUAAUUCAGAAAUAACUAUUAUACUACCUGUACAAGCAUCAUGUAUUAUUAUAUUAUUAUUUGCAUACAUGAAGUGAUUUCAUUCAGCUGCUGUUACAGUGGUUUUAAAAUUGGAGAUGCUCGUUUGAUCUUAAGAUUACCGCCUACUUAUACUAGCUGCACUAGCAUAAUUCAUUAUAUAAUGUAUUUUAAUUAUUUUAUUAUUUGUACACAUGAAGUGAUUUGACUCAGCUGCUGUUAAAAUGGUCUUCACAUUGUAGCUUGAAAUUGGAGGUGCUUAUGUAGCCUUAAGGUUACUGUCUACUUAUACUAGCUGCAUUAGCAUAAUUCAUUAUAUACUGUAUUAUUGUUAUUGUAUUAUUUGU